rnacentral:tmRNA from 1 species
GGGGAUGUACCGGUUUCGACGGGGAUGUGGAGGCAGGAAUAGCGAGCAGAUGCGCCUACCAUCUUUAAAAUGGGCACCUUAUAAAUUAAAGAACAACAAUAACACUGUUCUUCUCGCUGCUUAAUUAGCGAGCGUUCUGCCUCGGAGGACCACGGCCGGGGACAGGGCGUCGAUUAGUGGUGAACAUGAGUGCGCAAAGCUUUGAGCGCACCAUGCAUAAUGAAGCUACCAAGCCCUUGAGCAUGUCGGCCUGCGCAGGGGCAAGGGAAUGUAAAUGACCGCCUGCGCUCGGAGAAGUUCCUGUUAAAGCGUUUUCGGACAGGGGUUCAACUCCCCUCAUCUCCACCA